AAAUUACUCCCUCCGUUCGGAAUUACUUGUCUCGGAUAUGGAUGUAUCUAGAACUAAAAUACAUCUAGAUACAUCCAUUUCCGCGACAAGUAAUUCCGAACGGAAGGAGUAAUAC
rnacentral:pre_miRNA from 1 species